rnacentral:rRNA from 1 species
GGUUAAGCGACUAAGCGUACACGGUGGAUGCCCUGGCAGUCAGAGGCGAUGAAGGACGUGCUAAUCUGCGAUAAGCGUCGGUAAGGUGAUAUGAACCGUUAUAACCGGCGAUUUCCGAAUGGGGAAACCCAGUGUGAUUCGUCACACUAUCAUUAACUGAAUCCAUAGGUUAAUGAGGCGAACCGGGGGAACUGAAACAUCUAAGUACCCCGAGGAAAAGAAAUCAACCGAGAUUCCCCCAGUAGCGGCGAGCGAACGGGGAGGAGCCCAGAGCCUGAAUCAGUGUGUGUGUUAGUGGAAGCGUCUGGAAAGGCGCGCGAUACAGGGUGACAGCCCCGUACACAAAAAUGCACAUACUGUGAGCUCGAUGAGUAGGGCGGGACACGUGGUAUCCUGUCUGAAUAUGGGGGGACCAUCCUCCAAGGCUAAAUACUCCUGACUGACCGAUAGUGAACCAGUACCGUGAGGGAAAGGCGAAAAGAACCCCGGCGAGGGGAGUGAAAAAGAACCUGAAACCGUGUACGUACAAGCAGUGGGAGCCUCUUUUAUGGGGUGACUGCGUACCUUUUGUAUAAUGGGUCAGCGACUUAUAUUCUGUAGCAAGGUUAACCGAAUAGGGGAGCCGAAGGGAAACCGAGUCUUAACUGGGCGUUAAGUUGCAGGGUAUAGACCCGAAACCCGGUGAUCUAGCCAUGGGCAGGUUGAAGGUUGGGUAACACUAACUGGAGGACCGAACCGACUAAUGUUGAAAAAUUAGCGGAUGACUUGUGGCUGGGGGUGAAAGGCCAAUCAAACCGGGAGAUAGCUGGUUCUCCCCGAAAGCUAUUUAGGUAGCGCCUCGUGAAUUCAUCUCCGGGGGUAGAGCACUGUUUCGGCAAGGGGGUCAUCCCGACUUACCAACCCGAUGCAAACUGCGAAUACCGGAGAAUGUUAUCACGGGAGACACACGGCGGGUGCUAACGUCCGUCGUGAAGAGGGAAACAACCCAGACCGCCAGCUAAGGUCCCAAAGUCAUGGUUAAGUGGGAAACGAUGUGGGAAGGCCCAGACAGCCAGGAUGUUGGCUUAGAAGCAGCCAUCAUUUAAAGAAAGCGUAAUAGCUCACUGGUCGAGUCGGCCUGCGCGGAAGAUGUAACGGGGCUAAACCAUGCAC